UGGGGAAGUUUUCUUGCAAUGGGCGAAAGCCUGACGGAGCAAUGCCGCGUGGAGGUGGAAGGCCUACGGGUCGUCAACUUCUUUUCUCGGAGAAGAAACAAUGACGGUAUCUGAGGAAUAAGCAUCGGCUAACUCUGUGCCAG
rnacentral:rRNA from 1 species